GCCAUCUAGUGCUUUGAUGACGUCAGGGCAGACGAAUGGCUUUGGUCCUAGGAGAUGACAGUUGGAGUGGAGUCCUUAAGAUGACGGAGUUGUUUUUCUCAAACUGGGGUCUACGGGUUGUUGAAUUAACCUCAGGAGGUGAUCAUCAACUCUACACGUCGUCAGAUUCCAUCUGUUGUCUGGCUGUCCUUGAGAAGAGAUGUGUUUCUGCGUUCUUCAUUGAGUGUCUGGCUAAAGCGCAGUGGCAGCAUCCAGUCUCUGAUGCCUUUCCCUCCAACCACUCCUCUUGGCAGUGUUUUCUGUAUCUUAGAUGUUGACUUGACUCCUAGUUUACAUCUGGGAAUUUUUUUUUAACCAUUGUCUUAAAAUGCAGUGUAGAGAA